AGAGAAGGAGUGAGGAUGAUCUCAGUUUUAUCUGUGUUUGGUUUUUCUCUAGGAGAAAAUGUAAAAAAUGAAUCUGAAGCAAAUAUAUCAAAAGACUGACAAUUGAAAUAUCUGGGAGAUUUUCUUCUGUGAUAUUAACCGUAAAGCAGGCUGGCCUCACAUAGGAUUUGCAGAGAAGCUGUUAGAGGGCAGAGACCCAGAAGAAGAUAUACCUUGAAAUUCUCUGUGUAACGAGCAAUAAAGAGCAGACAUAAAGCCCUGCAAGCAAAAUUCCUGAACAAAAGGUUUCUAUGAAGGAAGCGGCUGACCAGUCCCCAGGGGAUGAGUAUUCGUGAAGAGAGUGGUCAAGUGAGGGUGAUCAGGCCUGAGAGUGAUAAACAUCAGCAGAAGCCAAAGGGAUGCUGGGAAACAGGCUUGUAUAACAUGGUCAGCUCUAACUGGUAACCAUACGUAUGCAAAAUAAGAUACUAUUAUUAUCACCUCUGCAACUGAGGGGGGAGAAAAGAUAGGAUCCAGUCUUGGCAAUAAUGCAGGGAAACAGACUUCAUAGGCUGCUGAUGGAAGUGUAACCGGCUACAAGCUUUUCUGCAGGGCUUUGGCAAUGUGGAUUCAAAGCUAUCCACAGGUGCAUAACUUUUGACCCAGAAAUUCUACCUCUAGAAAUUCAUUUUAAGGAAGUAAUCAGAGAUGUAAUUAUAUGCUUAUCUAUAAGAAUAUUCAUCAGUUUUAUAACAGAAAAUUUUAAGAAAGAGUAAGUUUCUAUCACACAGAUCUGUGCUCAAAUCACAACUUACUAGUGAAUGAACCUGGGCAAAUUCCUCAACUUUUUUAAAGCCUCAGUUUCCUCAUCUGUAAAAUGGGCACAAUAAUAGUACCUUCUCCUAAUCAUUUCCCCAGCCUUGACUCACCAUUUCCGUACUUCUCUUGGCAACAAAACUCCUCAAAAGAGUAGGCUAUCUGCACUCUCUUUGAAAUCGGCUCCUACCAGUUUCUUGCCCUCGCCACUCCAGUGAAACUGAUGUUGUCCAGGUCACCAACAUUGACUAAAUUCAACGAACAAUCCUUGGCUCUCAUCAUAAUUGGGCAUACUUCAGCACAGUUGGCCCCUCCUUCUGUGACAUACUUUUUUCUCUUGGCUUCCAGGACCCUGUACACUCUAGAUUUUCUUCCUACCUCACAUUGGUCACUCCUCCAUCUCCUUUGCUGUAUCUUCCCUUUUCCCUGCCCUCUUAAGGACAGAGCACCUGGGACUCAGUCCUUGGUCUUCUCCAUCUACACCCCUUCACUCUCCCUUGAUGGUCUCAUCCAGUUUCAAGAUUUUGAAUACUAUCUGUAUGCAGAUGAUUCUAAUGUAUAUCUCCAUUCCAAACCUCUCCCUGAAAUACAGGCUGGUUUUUCCAACUGACUACGCAACAUCUUUAUUUAGAUGUCUAAUAGGCAUCUCAAAAUUAACAUACAGAACAAAGUUAACAUCCUUAUUUUCACUCCCCAGUUUGCUCCACCCAUGGCAUUCCUACCUCAAUUCCGUUCGUCAGGUUGUUCAGAACAAAAACCUUAGAGUCAUCCCUAAUUCUUUUUGGUUUUUUCCCUGUCAUACCCUACAUCCAAUCUCUCAGAAAAUCUGUUGACUCUACCUGCAGAAUAUAUCUGGAAUCAGAUCAGCUUUUACCACCUUCACCACUACUAGCCUGAUCUGAGCCACUAUCCCCUCUCACCUGGGUUACUGAAAUGGACUCCUAAUUAGUGUCCCUGUGAUCAUCCUUGCCCUCCACCACUCUUUUCUCGAGACAGCAGCCUGGGGCUUCCCUGGUGGCGCAGUGGUUGAGAGUCCGCCUGCCGAUGCAGGGGACGCGGGUUCGUGCCCCGGUCCGGGAGGAUCCCACAUGCCGCGGAGCGGCUGGGCCCGUGAGCCAUGGCCGCUGAGCCUGCGCGUCUGGAGC